UAUUAGAAAGAAUACCAAAUGCGAAGGCAGCUUUCUGGAUCAUUACUGACACUGAGGAACGAAAGCAUGGGUAGCGAAGAGGAUUAGAUACCCUCGUAGUCCAUGCCGUAAACGAUGUGCGUUAGACGUUGGAAAUUUAUUUUCAGUGUCGCAGCGAAAGCGAUAAACACACCGCCUGGGGAGUACGACCGCAAGGUUAAUACUCAAAUGAAUUGACGGGGACCCGCACAAGUAGUGGAGCAUGUGGUUUAAUUCGAAGAUACGCGCAGAACCUUACCAACACUUGACAUGUUCGUCGCGACUCUAAGAGAUUAGAGUUUUCGGUUCGGCCGGACGAAACACAGGUGCUGCAUGGCUGUCGUCAGCUCGUGUCGUGAGAUGUUGGGUUAAGUCCCGCAACGAGCGCAACCCUCACUUUUAGUUGCCAUCAUUUAGUUGGGCACUCUGAAAGAACUGCCAGUGAUAAGCUGGAGGAAGGUGGGGAUGACGUCAAGUCCUCAUGGCCCUUACGUGUUGGGCUACACACGUGCUACAAUGGUAUCUACAACAGGAAGCAAGACUGCGAGGUCAAGCAAAUCCUUAAAAGAUACCUCAGUUCGGAUUGCACUCUGCAACUCGAGUGCAUGAAGCUGGAAUUACUAGUAAUCGUGGAUCAGCGUGCCACGGUGAAUGCGUUCCCGGGCCUUGUACACACCGCCCA
rnacentral:rRNA from 1 species